CCCGCGGGUGCCGGCCGGAGGGGCGAGGCGGGCGGGCGGGCGGCGGCGCUGCCCGGGGCUUACCUUGGCGCCCUUGCCCAGCAGCGCCUGGACGAAGGCCCUGCCGAUGCCCUGCGCCCCGCCGGUGACCAGGGCCACCUUGCCAUUGACGUGCAUGGCCGCCGCGCCGCUGCCGCCGUGCCCGCCGAGCCGGAGCAACCUAGCGCGGUGUCACCUGCCCGGUUUCCUCCCUCCCUCGCUCCCUCCCUCUCUCCUGCCUUCCUUCCUUCCCUCCCUCCUCCUCCUCCUCCCGCCGCUCGUUCCCCCCCCCCCCCCCCGUGUGACCGAGAGCCGCCCGGAGCUGCCUGGGCGGGGGGAGCGGGGUGGAGCAGGUCAUUAAAUCGUUCUCCCGAGCGCCUGGAUGAACCCCAGAGACCAAAGGCCAGAGGGAAGCCCAGCUUCAUCCUCUCUUCAGCCCCCCGGGCUUUCCGGCGAGGAGCGGCUCCUGCCCGGCGGGUCCCGGGGACGGGGUCCCGGGGCAGCUACAGCUCCCCUCGGAGGGGGGGAAAGGGGGGCCUUUGCGCCUCUGUAAAUGGUGUGAGAAGCGGCUACAAGCAUUGAUAAGGGCUCUUGGCAGCUCCUAAGGGUGUGUGCGUUUUGGUUGGCCCCAGUCUCGUGAACAGCAGGCUGAGGAAUCGAAAAAAGUUCAGUCUCGAAAAAAACAAACAUAGAGCCUUUCUUCACACCUCAAAAUACCCUGCCAGCCGUCUCCCCUCUCAUUCUGCCAGUAAGCAGAAUCUGUUUGUAUGAAAAAGCAGCUAUUAAACAUUAUGGAUAUUAGAUGUAUCAUAAGUGCUUUCUAGAAAUUUUCAGGUCUGUGGAUAACAUAGCUUGUACCUUAAAAAAUGUUUAAUUGCUUUUACAGCUUAUAAGCCAAAUUCUGCUACACAAUGUGAAUUACACGCAACUAAAACCUAUCAAUACUAAGAUAUAUAACUGAACAGUAGAAAUAAGAGCAACCUUAAUCAUCUAAAAGAUGAAAUUAAUUUUACUUGUUUAUUAGCCUGUUACAAGAUUCACAAAUGUUAUCCCACAGAAAAUACAAUAUCGUGGAGUGUUGAGUAGACAGGAAAAAUCCAUUGUUCCAGCCCUAAGCUCUAUAAACAUAUGUACAUCAUGUAUGUGCAUGUGUGUAUUAACGCACACGCUUGUCUUUUGGGUUCUCUGUUUUCUUUGCUUGAUGUAUCAGGUUUAAACUUUUUUGCUUGUGCUUUCAAGGCCCUGAAGUACUCAGGCUUUGCUUCUAGCAUUAAUGUCUGUUGUCAUUUUUCCUUGCUUCUCAGCAACAAUGUGCCUGUUUUGCCCCGUUUCUUAUCCCAGCUGCCCAUUUUCUACUAGGCUUCCUUGAUGUAUGGAAUUCCCUUCUUUUGUAUUACCUAGAAGAAACAAAUUAUAUCACUCCUAACACCAGCAAACUGUUACAGAACCAUUAAGAUCAUGGCUUAUCCUCCACUCUUCUGCAUAGACCGCAGUGGCAUCAAAGCAUGAAGAGACGCCAGGUGGUUUUAAUCUGUUUUUGAAAAGGAGACAGGAAUAUGAUCUCUCUCAGACAUAUGUCACCCUAUUAAUUUAAAAAUAGUUUUUCAAAAAGCAA